rnacentral:rRNA from 1 species
UACGGAGGAUCCAAGCGUUAUCCGGAAUCAUUGGGUUUAAAGGGUCCGUAGGCGGUUUUGUAAGUCAGUGGUGAAAGCCCAUCGCUCAACGGUGGAACGGCCAUUGAUACUGCUAGACUUGAAUUAUUAGGAAGUAACUAGAAUAUGUAGUGUAGCGGUGAAAUGCUUAGAGAUUACAUGGAAUACCAAUUGCGAAGGCAGGUUACUACUAAUGGAUUGACGCUGAUGGACGAAAGCGUGGGUAGCGAACAGG